AGGAUCAACGCUGGCGGCGUGCCUAAUGCAUGCAAGUCGAACGGGGCGCCCUUCGGGGCGCUCACGUGGCGGACGGGUGAGGAACACGUGGCCAAUCUGCCCACCGGCAGGGGGUAGCCCGCGGAAACGCGGGGUAAUUCCGUAUGAUCUUCCCGGCCAAGUGGGGUGGGGAAGCAAAGGUCCUUCGGGGCCGCCGGUGGAGGAGGCUGCGGCCGAUUAGCUGGUUGGUGGGGUCACGGCCUACCAAGGCGAUGAUCGGUAGCUGGUCUGAGAGGAUGAUCAGCCACACGGGGACUGAGACACGGCCCCGACUCCUACGGGAGGCAGCAGCAAAGGAAUUUCCGCAAAUGGGCGAAAGCCUGACGGAGCAACGCCGCGUGCGGGAUGACGUCUUUCGGAGUGUAAACCGCGUGGUUCGGGGGGACGAAGCACGUGACCGGUACCCCGGAGGAACGGCCCGACGUAACCUAACGCGCCCAGCGACGCCGC
rnacentral:rRNA from 1 species